rnacentral:rRNA from 1 species
UACGGAGGGGGCUAGCGUUGUUCGGAAUCACUGGGCGUAAAGCGCACGUAGGCGGCUUUGUAAGUUAGAGGUGAAAGCCCAGGGCUUAACCCUGGAAUUGCCUUUAAGACUGCAUCGCUAGAAUCGUGGAGAGGUAAGUGGAAUUCCGAGUGUAGAGGUGAAAUUCGUAGAUAUUCGGAAGAACACCAGUGGCGAAGGCGACUUACUGGACACGUAUUGACGCUGAGGUGCGAAAGCGUGGGGAGCAAACAGG